CUGAGUGGCAAAAAGUGACAGUUACGCAUGGAGAAAACCAGCAUUAGUUUCAAUCAUAGGCUUUAAUAGCAUCUAAACUGUAAAACUUAAUUAAAAAAAUGAGGAGGAGCUGUGACUGUAACAGGUUUGAAAAGCAGACAGAGAUAUAUUUUUACAGGCUCACAAAACUCAAAGAAAAUGGAUAUAAAUGGAUAUAAAUGGAUCGCUGCAUUACGAAGAAACAACUGGAAUCCAAGCACAGAAACCUGCUGUUGUGGUUCACAUUUAGUGUCAGCUCUGAGGCUCUGUUUUGGUCUCCUCACGGACCACAAAAAUGGACGACAUCGGAUCUGCUGCUUCAGCCAGCUGAGCGUUUGGCGCGGAUAACACCUCAUUAUUUUGAGCAGUCUCCUCCGAUGGCUUGGCUGCGACGUUGUAAACAGUAACUGCGUGGCACAAGUGCCAACCACUACCGGUUCACUUGUGCCCACGGUGGCCUUCUGCUCAUCGUUCAGCAAACCCCGGCUUUCUUCAGCGCUGCCGCAGGGACUUUGAGAGCCACAGCAACAGUUCCCCAUCGG